GGUUCCAACGGCGAGCGGCAGUUCGGCGGCCUGCAUCCUCGACCGCGAGGAGGAGGUGAGCGGCGGCGCCGCGGCCUCAAUCCCCGUCCGCCUGGCGCCGGAUCCGUCGUCCUCAACUGCCGGGCGUCGUCUCCUCCGUCCGCCGGCUGCGUCCCCAACUGUCGGGUGCAGAUCCGCCCAAGGCGAAGAGGGCGGCGUCGAGCAGCAAUGGGGACGAGGUCGCCUCCAGACCGAGCUCAAGAAGGUCCAGCAUGCCAAGGAGUUCAAGCCCAUCGUGAUUAUUCCUCUUGUGAAGGCAUUGAUCGAGAAAGACAAGGAAGGAGAGAAGAAGAAGGGCACCUUCAAUCUACAUCAGUGACGGGUGUUGAGCUGUGGUUGUGGCUCUUUUUUGCUUUUUUUUUUUGGGGUGAUUUUUCUCAUCUGUGACGGGUCACAU
rnacentral:lncRNA from 1 species